AACAUCAAUACUCAAACCUAUACUAUUGGUAUCAAUCUUCGAUGAAUUCACCAUCUGUACUACUUGGCACCCUCUUUUCAUAUAUUCAUCUGGACUCUGCUAGCAUGAUAGCCUUAAGCCCUCUAGGGUUUGGGUUCUAUCUUUGACAUAAAAGAAUGAUUGACCUUCUUUUGUAAUAUCGACCAUUGGAUCACAUCACACA
rnacentral:lncRNA from 1 species